rnacentral:rRNA from 1 species
UGCCAGCCGCCGCGGUAACACGAACUGUGCGAACGUUAUUCGGAAUUACUGGGCGUAAAGCGCACGUAGGCGGACUAUUAAGUCAGGGGUGAAAUCCCGGGGCUCAACCCCGGAACUGCCUCUGAUACUGGUAGUCUUGAGUUCGAGAGAGGUGAGUGGAAUUCCGAGUGUAGAGGUGAAAUUCGUAGAUAUUCGGAGGAACACCAGUGGCGAAGGCGGCUCACUGGCUCGAUACUGACGCUGAGGUACGAAAGUGUGGGGAGCAAACAGGAUUAGAUA